AAUGGGUGUAGAAAAAGCAUUUGACAAAUUUCAAAUCCUUUUCUGAGAAAACCUUAAAAAAUGACACAAUAAUAGUGUCAUUUAGCACACUAAAAUACACAAGACAAACCAAUAACUACCAUCACACUCCAUGGUGAAACUUGAAAGUUUCCCUGAAAAAUUAGGGAAAGUGCAAGAAUGCUGAGUCUGCCAGUUUUACUCAAUAUAGGUCUGAAGUCCAAGCCAGGAUAAUUAAGCAAUAAAAAUAACUAAAAUGUAUACAAGUCAAAAAAGAAAAGUAAGAGUCUCUGUUUCCAUCAGAUGUAAUGUACACAUGGAAGACCCUAAAGUUCAACCAAAAACAAUUAGAACUAAUGUUAAUUAUAUAGAUUUAGCAUAUGUAAAUAACAUACACAGUUCAGCAGAGUUUUAAAAAACAAACUAUUUGAUAAACAAUCAAGUAAAUAUUUCAUUUACAACAGCAUGAGAAGAUAAAAAUAUUUAGUAGCAAAUUUCACCCAGGAAGUGAAAAAUCUGUAUACUGAAAUAUAAAACCCAUCAAUGAAAGAAGUCAUAGAAGACAGAAUACAUGGGAAAAUAAUCCAUGAUUAUGAAUUGAAAUAUUAAUUAUUGUUACAGCCUAAGUUGAUGUACAGGUUUAAUGUAGUCCCUAUGAAUAAUCCAAGGCCUUUUUCAUAGAAAUUUUAAAAAUCCUAAAUUUUGUUUAGAACCGCAAAAGAUUCUGAAUGACCCAUGAAAUUUUAUACAAGAAGAAGUCUGUAGGCACUGAAUUAUAUGCAUACUACAGUAGGCAAAAUAUGAGAAUGCAGGCAUAAUACAGACACAUAGAACCAAGGACUCCAUGCAGAGUGCAGAAAU
rnacentral:lncRNA from 1 species